GUGGGGAAUUUUGGACAAUGGGGGCAACCCUGAUCCAGCCAUGCCGCGUGCGGGAAGAAGGCCUUCGGGUUGUAAACCGCUUUUGUCCGGAAAGAAAAGGCAUCCCCUAAUACGGGGUGUCCUUGACGGUACCGGAAGAAUAAGCACCGGCUAACUACGUGCCAGCAGCCGCGGUAAUACGUAGGGUGCGAGCGUUAAUCGGAAUUACUGGGCGUAAAGCGUGCGCAGGCGGUUCGCUAAGUCUGAUGUGAAAGCCCCGGGCUCAACCUGGGAACUGCAUUGGAAACUGGCGAGCUUGAGUGUGGCAGAGGGGGGUGGAAUUCCACGUGUAGCAGUGAAAUGCGUAGAGAUGUGGAGGAACACCGAUGGCGAAGGCAGCCCCCUGGGCUAACACUGACGCUCAGGCACGAAAGCGUGGGGAGCAAACAGGAUUAGAAACCCCUGUAGUCC
rnacentral:rRNA from 1 species